rnacentral:rRNA from 1 species
UGGGGAAUAUUGCACAAUGGGCGAAAGCCUGAUGCAGCAACGCCGCGUGAGGGACGACGGCCUUCGGGUUGUAAACCUCUUUUAGCAAGGAAGAAGCGAAAGUGACGGUACUUGCAGAAAAAGCGCCGGCUAACUACGUGCCAGCAGCCGCGGUAAUACGUAGGGCGCAAGCGUUAUCCGGAAUUAUUGGGCGUAAAGAGCUCGUAGGCGGUUUGUCGCGUCUGCUGUGAAAACCCGAGGCUCAACCUCGGGCCUGCAGUGGGUACGGGCAGACUAGAGUGCGGUAGGGGAGAUUGGAACUCCUGGUGUNGGCGGUGGAAUGCGCAGAUAUCAGGAAGAACACCGAUGGCGAAGGCAGAGUCUCUGGGCCGUAACUGACGCUGA